rnacentral:rRNA from 1 species
UCCGUAGGUGAACCUGCGGAAGGAUCAUUACCGAGUGCGGGCUGCCUCCGGGCGCCCAACCUCCCACCCGUGACUACCUAACACUGUUGCUUCGGCGGGGAGCCCCCUAGGGGCGAGCCGCCGGGGACCACUGAACUUCAUGCCUGAGAGUGAUGCAGUCUGAGCCUGAAUACAAAUCAGUCAAAACUUUCAACAAUGGAUCUCUUGGUUCCGGCAUCGAUGAAGAACGCAGCGAACUGCGUAAGUAAUGUGAAUUGCAGAAUUCAGUGAAUCAUCGAGUCUUUGAACGCACAUUGCGCCCCCUGGCAUUCCGGGGGGCAUGCCUGUCCGAGGUCAUUGCUGCCCUCAAGCCCGGCUUGUGUGUUGGGUCGUCGUCCCCCCCGGGGGACGGGCCCGAAAGGCAGCGGCGGCACCGUGUCCGGUCCUCGAGCGUAUGGGGCUUUGUCACCCGCUCGAUUAGGGCCGGCCGGGCGCCAGCCGGCGUCUCCAACCUUAUUUUUCUCAGGUGACCUCGAUCAGUAGGAUACCCGCUGAACUUAAGC